rnacentral:rRNA from 1 species
AACGAACGCUGGCGGCAUGCCUAACACAUGCAAGUCGAACGAGACCUUCGGGUCUAGUGGCGCACGGGUGCGUAACGCGUGGGAACCUGCCCUUAGGUUCGGAAUAACUCCCCGAAAGGGGUGCUAAUACCGGAUAAUGUCUUCGGACCAAAGAUUUAUCGCCUUUGGAUGGGCCCGCGUUGGAUUAGCUAGUUGGUAGGGUAAAAGCCUACCAAGGCGACGAUCCAUAGCUGGUCUGAGAGGAUGAUCAGCCACACUGGGACUGAGACACGGCCCAGACUCCUACGGGAGGCAGCAGUGGGGAAUAAUGGACAAUGGGCGAAAGCCUGACCAGCAAUGCCGCGUGAGUGAUGAAGGCCUUAGGGUUGUAAAGCUCUUUUACCCGGGAUGAUAAUGACAGUACCGGGAGAAUAAGCUCCGGCUAACUCCGUG